AUCGCGUGAACCCAGGAGGCGGAGGUUUCAGUGAGCCGAGAUCACGCCACUGCACUCCAGCCUGGGCAACAGAGCAAGUCUCCGUCUCAAAAAAAAAAAAAAAAAAAAAAAGGAAAAUAAAAGACAAAUGGCUGGGCAUGGUGGCUCACACCUAUAAUCCAAGCACUUUGGAAGGCUGAGGUGGAAGGAUUGCUUGGGGCCAAGAGUUUGAGACUAGCCUGGGCAACAAAGUGAGACCCUGUCUCUAUGAGAAAAUUAAAAAAAAAAAGGCCACCUUUUUGAUACGAAAGGAGGGGAAAUAAGAAAGCAUACUAUAUUUGCUUAUUUUUGCAGAAACAAACACAGGAAGGAAAAUAAACUAAAUUGGUUAUUUCAAGAGGUAGAUAAGGUCUAGAUGAAAUAGAUACAUGAUCGGCCGGGCGCGGUGGCUCACACCUGUAAUCCCAGGACUUUGGGAGACUGAGGCGGGCGGAUCACGAGGUCAGGAGAUCGAGACCAUCCUGGCUAACACGGUGAAACCCAGUCUCUACUGAAAAUACAAAAAAUUGGCCGGGCGUGGUGGUGGGCACCUGUAGUCCCAGCGACUUGGGAGGCUGAGGCAGGAGAAUGGUGUGAACCCCAGAGGCGGAGCUUGCAGUGAGCCCAGAUCGCGCCACUGCACUCUAGCCUGGGCGACAGAGCGAGACUCUGUCUCAAAAAAAUAAAAAUAAAAAUAGAUACAUGAUGGAGUAUUACUUCUCUGAGUUUAUUUACCAUUUUGUCUAGUUUUGACUUCUGGAUCCAUGUUAAUGUUUUGCACAUUAAAAAAAGUUGACAAGAAAAAAUAUGCAGAACAUGCUUGUCCUCAGGCUUGUCAGAGACUCCUAUAACCAUAUAAAGAAGCUGAGGGUUGAUCAUGCUUGAGCUAUGAUACUUAUUAAAAUAGUACUAGAAAGACAAAUAGAAUGUAGCAUGGCAAAAGAGCUGCACAUUUUGGGAGAAGGCAUUUAUUUGUAGGGGCUGAAAUGUGCUAGCUCGAGAAUCAGACCUAAGAAUUACAAGGUGAUUAACCAAAGGAAAAAGUCUCUGGAAGUAGAAAACUAAAAAGAAGGUUUGGAACAGGCUGGAAGUGAGAUUGAAGCAUAUCACAGAAAUGUUAGACAUUCUUCAAUGUCAGUGCCUUGGAUGAAUUUAUAAGGCUUUGCCUUAAAGUUACUUGUGGGCUUAUAAAGCCUGUGUCAAAGCUAAACAAAGCCAGACAAUAGUUUAGACAAGAAGUAAGGAUAGGUAUUUAUUUAUUUAUUUGAGAUGGAGUUUCACUCUUGUCGCCCAGGCUGGAGGGUAAUGGCGCGAUCUUGGCUCACCGCAACCUCCGUGUCCGGGGUUCAAGCGAUUCUCCUGCCUCAGCCUCCUGAAUAGCUGGGAUUACAGGCAUGCACCACCACGCCCGGCUAAUUUUUUUUAGGGAAGAGGGCCCAAGGUGAACUGAACUUAACUUCCUUAAAAAAAAAAAAAAUGCAGGAGGCCUUUUGAAGGCUGGGAUGUGCUAAGGGAUAGGCAUGAAGAUAUUAAGGAGAAUUGCUCCAUGUGACUAGACAAUCUGGAUUUGUGAAUUGGCUCUUGUCCAGAAGAGAAAUAAGCACCUAUUUUUACGACAGGAGCUAGUAGUGCAAGUUAGAGCAAGGCACCCACCUGGUUGGGAGCUGGAGCAAGAUUUAUUUCCUCAAAUGUUUGCAUUUCAAAGAAACUCUCAGGUCCCAGUGAAAAUAGCUCUGGGUAGAAGAUUUACAUCUCAAAGAGGCAGAGAAAGAUGUUUUAAUUGCAAGCUUUCUUUCUAAGUAAUUGCACUAAGAUGAAGUUCAGGGGCCUGUGUCUAUUGCUAGGUUUGGGCUGGGAUGCACAGUAAAUUUUUCUGACAGCGAUGAGCUUUUUCAGGCAGGCAUUUUAAGCGGGGGGCUGAGGUCCUCCUAGGGACAAGGCCUUAAGUUGCUAGAAGCCAUGCUAGAGCUUGGUUAAGGAGAGUCUUUGUUACCUGGCGUCUCUCUGCAGUGCCGUUUCAAUGCCUUAGAGCAAGAGAGUGGUGGAUGGACAGUGAUAGUGAUUCACGUGCGCAAUUCACAACUUGCAUUAGCAACCAGGCAAAAGCAAGUGCUGCUUUUAGAGGCCUUGGGAAGAAUUUCCACAAGUUUCCGGCCAUUGGGAUACAGGGGAAAAGGGAUUGGAGGGAGGCUCAUCGGGAACAAUACAUUAGGUAAUGUUGGGGUUUAUAAAUCGAUACCCCCAAAUAUAGUACUGAACCGAAGAAGCAACCUGAAGAUCUCUCUGACCUUCCCCGCUCCACACGGUCUCUCCCAAAAAGCUGAAGUUCCUUUAUUUGCCUAAGAUCCAGACCCUCCAAGGAGAACAGUAGGUUUCUUUUCCUCCUGUAAGACCAAAAAUGUAACCACACCUGAACAGACCUUUUCAUGAGUUAAUGCCUGCUUCUCAUGGUCAUCUAAAUUCCAAAGAAAACUAUUUACAAGUUAAUUUGUUUCCUGAUCAAAUCAUUCUCUUUAGUAAUCAUUUAUUGCCCAUCAACAGAAUUCCUUUUCUCCCGCAGGAUCCAAACUCAUUCUUUCUGUAACCUCAUGAUGGCGUAUAAGCUUUUGCACCUCACUGGGAGGUUGGGUCUUCAUUCUGAAGGCUUCUAUGUAUACAUAUUAAAUAAGUUUGUAUGCCUUUUUUCCUAUUAAUCUGCCUUGCGUCAGUGAUUUUCAGCAAACUUCAGGGAGCCAAAGGCCUUGGCUCCCACAGUGAUAAUAAACAAUAUGACUUUUGGCUAUCAAAAUUCCUGCUGUUAGUUAAGGAAAAAUUGUGACAGUUUCUGAAAUGGACAAAUACAGGCAUCCUUCCAGUGGAUUACUAGGAUUUGUCUAGACUAGAGGACAGGAUGCUUCUGGGGGUUUUCUGAUUCUCUACAGGUCAGUAUCCUUCCUUGUCUUGUACUGUUUUGCAACUCUAGAAAGAAAAGUUAAAUAUGUAGAAGCCUGACAGUGAUACAAAUGAUCCCUGUUCAUAUUAAUACAAAUGCAAAUUGUUUGCCUGGUAGAGAUACAAUUGAUUUUCUCUCUGUAGAAAAAAAGAUGAUCCCAGCCAGGCGUGGUGGCUCACCCUGCAAUUCCAGCACUUUGGGAGGCCGAGACAGGCAAAUCACAAGGUCAGGAGUUCGAGACCAGCCUGGCCAAUAUGGUGAAACCCUGUCUCUACUAAAAAUACAAAAAUUAGCCAGGCGUGGUGGUGGGCGCCUGUAAUCCCAGCUACUCUGGAGGGUGAGGCAGGAGAAUUGCUUGAAUCUGGGAGGCGGAGUUUGCAGUGAGCUGAGUCCUCGCCAUUGCAUUCCAGCUUGGGCAACAGAGUGAGAUUACAUCUCAAAAAAAAAAAAAAAAAAAAAAGAAUCCCAGAAAUUAAAUGUUUUAUAUUUUUGCCACAAGAAAACACGUGCAAGUAUGAAACUUUUUGUAAGGUCCUCUGAGCUGGCUGCACUAUGGUCAAGCCACGGUGACAUUCCCCCACCCUUGUGAUAAUGUACUUUGUGAUACUCCUGUCCUUGUGAAUGUACUUUGUAACAUUCCUCCCCACCCUUGUGACAAUACAUCCUCCCUGCCCUUGUGACAAUACACCCUCCCUGCCCUUGUGAAUGUACUUUGUAACAUCCUCCCCACCCUUGAGAAUGUACUUUGUAAUAUCCAUCCCCUGCCUGUAAAAAAUUGCUCCUGACUACACCGCCUAUCCCAAACCUAUAAGAACCAAUGAUAAUCCCACCACCUUUUGCUGACCCCUUUCUCGGACUCAGCCCACUCACACACAAGUGAAUAAACAGCCAUGUUGCUCACACUAAGCCUGUUCAGGUGGUCUCUUAUGUGGACACGCAUAACACUUUUAUUAUUAUUAUUAUUAAAAAAGUAAUAAUAAAAAGAGACAGAGUUUUGCUCUUGUUGCCCAAGCUGGAGUGCAAUGGCGUGAUCUUGGCUUGCUGCAACCUCUGCCUCCU
rnacentral:lncRNA from 10 species